rnacentral:rRNA from 1 species
AUUGAACGCUGGCGGAAUGCUUUACACAUGCAAGUCGAACGGCAGCACGGACUUCGGUCUGGUGGCGAGUGGCGAACGGGUGAGUAAUGUAUCGGAACGUGCCCAGUCGUGGGGGAUAACGUAGUGAAAAUUACGCUAAUACCGCAUACGAUCUAUGGAUGAAAGCGGGGGAUCGCAAGACCUCGCGCGAUUGGAGCGGCCGAUAUCAGAUUAGGUAGUUGGUGGGGUAAAGGCCCACCAAGCCAACGAUCUGUAGCUGGUCUGAGAGGACGACCAGCCAAACUGGAACUGAGACACGGUCCAGACUCCUACGGGAGGCAGCAGUGGGGAAUUUUGGACAGUGGGCGAAAGCCUAAUCCAGCCAUUCCGCGUGCAGGAUGAAGGCCCUCGGGUUGUAAACUGCUUUUGUACAGAACGAAAAGGUUUCUACUAAUACUAGGAGCUCAUGACGGUACUGUAAGAAUAAGCACCGGCUAACUACGUGCCAGCAGCCGCAGUAA